AUCGCGGAGGAACGGUGGGAUUUUUUGAUGGAUGUGAAACUCCGAUUCACACGGGCAUUAUCCACCAUCCGUCAAAAAUAGCUGAUGCCGACAAGUACACAAUAUUUUUGCGCGGAAGAUUUAUAAAUUUUUUUUUCUUAAAAUGGAUAAUGAAGACAAUUAUCUUGGUUGUGGUUCAACAGCAAAAUAUUUUCUUGCAUCAACUAAUAAUGUUGUUGCAAAUGAAUGAUGAUGAAGAUGAUGAAUUUAACUUUGACGAGGAUGAGAUGAUUUACUGGGCAUCUGCCCUAAAAAACAGAAGCCAGGAAGGUUGUGGUCGUUUGUGAGUACUUCUUCUACUAACUUCCACCAAAGUUUAAAGUGUAAGGACAUAUUGUAUGUUUUUACAAGCGGUUCGGGACAUUUUGGGAGAAAGAUGUACCUGAAAACAACGAGGAGUUUGUCAAAGAGAGUUUUCGAAUAGAGAGGCAGUGCUUUGAGAUUUUAGUGAAUCGGCUGCAAUUGCUUCGGAAGAAGGAUACAAACUGCCGAGCUGCAAUCGUAGCACAUCGCCAUUGCACUACACCCGUUGGGAUCGUCCUUUGAGUACAGAACAGUUGGCAGGCUUUUCGGUGUGGCUCCAAACGGUGUGUGCAAUAUCCUGAACGAGUUCUGCAGAGCACUUAUCGGCGAGUUUUUGGAGGAUUACAUUUCGCCCAAUUACCUAACAUCCGAAAAAAUUGCUGAGUUCGUGAAGGGAUUCCAGGCAAUUGGGUUUCCUCAGAGCCUAGGUGCAAUUGAUGGAUGCCACAUCGAAAUAAAACUACCAGCAGCUGAGGCAGUGGACCACCAUAACUAUAAGGGCUGUUAUUACACAGACUUGUUUGCCCUUUUGGAUUACAAAUACAGAUUUACAUAUGUAAAUAUCGGGUCCGCAGGAAGGUGCAAUGACUCGAUGAUAUACCAGAAGGCAAGCCUUGCAAAGCGUAUCGAAG